rnacentral:sRNA from 1 species
GUUUUCUCGUCCUUCUCUCGACCGUCCUUUUAUCCUCAUACAUCUGUUGCCGUGACUCUCG